UGCACUCAAAAAUAUCCAACUGCAGACCCGCAGCACCAGCAAUUUCAGAACAGCAGCCCCAGAACGGAAGUGAGGGGCGGAGUUAUUGAUAACGAGAUAAGCAUGGCGGAGAGCACGUAAGAUGACAGCCAAAAUUGCUCCUGGCGCAUGGCUGCUACUGAAUAACAAGGAUGUCCCCCAACAAAUUGGUGGUGUGGACUAUGGAGUCUUCAUGUUGAUGUAUGCUCUAUAUCUUGUUUUGGGAGCACCCUUUGAUUUGACAUCUUAGAGAAACCCUUCAAGAGGCCCUUCCAAGUGGAGAACAAACUACGCUUAGCAGCAGUGAAGAGUUCCCAGUAAUCCGACACAUGACAGAAGCUGUGAAAUGGCUCCUUUCCAACAGACAUCUGCUCAGGGGCCCAGUGGAAGCCUCUUUUCCUUACAAUGGAUGGAGAGGACAAGGAAAAGGCCCUCAACAAUCUCCUGGAACAAUCAGAAGCUUCCAAAGAGCCCUUCACAUUUCAUUUUGUGUUCAGGAAUGACAUGGAGUUAUUUUUGCAGGAAUGUCAUGACAAAAUGGGCCUAAGAGUGAAUUGUUCAUUUGAGGAAAUUUUAUUUAAUUAUUUGUUGUAUAAAGUUUGAUUGUUUCUUUUAAAAUUAUGUUGCUGUUUUUUUAUUUUUUAUAAUAAUAUC